AAUGAACGCUGGCGGCAGGCCUAACACAUGCAAGUCGAACGAGUGGCGGACGGGUGAGUAAUGUCUGGGAAACUGCCUGAUGGAGGGGGAUAAAUACUGGAAACGGUAGCUAAUACCGCAUAACAUCAGAUGAGCUCAGAUGGGAUUAGCUAGUUGGUGGGGUAACGGCUCACUAGGGCGACGAUCCCGAGCUGGUCUGGGAGGAUGACCAUCCACACUGGGACUAAGACACGGUCCAGACUCCUACGGUAGGCAGCAUUGGGGAAUAUUGCACAAUGGGCGCAAGCCUGAUGCAGCCAUGCCGCGUGUAUGAAGAAGGCCUUCGGGUUGUAAAGUACUUUCGGCGGGGAGGCGUUACCCGCAGUAGAAGCACCGGCUAACUCCGUGCCAGCAGCCGCGGUAAUUC
rnacentral:rRNA from 1 species